UCCGGUUUAUCACCGACCACAAGGGGGGCCACAUCUCUGCAGCUUUCCGGUAUAUGUCAAACCCAGGUAAGGUUCUUCGCGUUGCAUCGAAUUAAUCCACAUGCUCCGCCGCUUGUGCGGGCCCCCGUCAAUUCCUUUGAGUUUUAGCCUUGCGGCCGUACUCCCCAGGCGGGGCGCUUAAUGCGUUAGCUACGGCACGGAUUCCGUGGAAGGAACCCACACCUAGCGCCCACCGUUUACGGCGUGGACUAC
rnacentral:misc_RNA from 1 species